UUUUGCCCUUUUAUAGUAAUAUAUUUAUUUUUUUCUUUAUAUCAUGUUAUUUGUCAUUUAAAUGUCUUUAAGAAUCAAUUGACAGACUUUGACCGGGCAUUUUAUAUUUUUGUGAAUUUUAAUUCAAAGUUGAAAAUUUCACUUCAACAUUUGUGUACAAGGGUGACUUCCGGUCAACUUUUUGCCCUUUUAUAGUAAUAUAUUUAUGUUUUUGUUUAUAUCAUAUUAUGUGUCAUUUAAAUGUCUUCAAGAAUCAAUUUACAGCUUUACCGGGUUAUAUGCUUUUUCGUGAAUUUAAGUUUUAAUGUUCAAAAAUGUGUUGCCAGAGUAUUCAGAUGUACUCCAUCGGAAAUAAAUUUAUCUUUGCAUGAAUAUUUAUGUGUCGUGUCAUGAUCCCGAAAGAUAAAUUUCGAUGAUUUUUCAACCUCGUUUUUUAUCAUUUUAUUUAUUUAUUGUGCUUUUCCGAAAUACAUAUUCUUGUAUGCCCCAUCUCUGACACUUGUAUUUUCUCGGUUGUAUCCAUCUUUCUUAAAUCUGAAAUUAAAAUAUUUUAUGAAAAUUGAAUGUCACCAAAUUUCUGUGUGUUCUUCCUUUGGCAGCUAUUUGGAAAAGAGGCUGGAUAUUAAAUCAUGUGCUUGAAGUAGCGCCCCCUUAUCAAUUGCAAAAUUCCAAAGAGAUUCAAGUUAGAUAAUCACAUAUGUACCAUCCGUAACUAUUUUCUACAUAUUUCUAAAAUUUACAAAACAUGAUAACACAAGACUGAAUACAAUUAAAAUUUAGUCUUUCAUUGUACCAUAAAGUCACCUAUGCUGCACAUAAGUGUAUAUAUAUAUGAAAUACAUAUCUAUUUUAUUUAUAUAUUUAUGAUCAUUUAUUUUAAGAACUUAAACUGUUCUUAUUUUGUUUAUGUUUUUCUCACUUGUUUGUAAUGCCUUUUUAAUUUGAAUAUCAUCUAAACAAAUAUCGUAUGUUCCAUUAUAUCAAUAAUUAUAAUUAAUAUUUAAAGAAAAAUAUUCAAAAACUAACAAGGGUCGUUUCUAUAUAUGCAUGUAUACGAAAGUGUAUUAGGGACGAAGUAAAAAUACGAAAUUUUGACAUUUCAAAUCUUAAAAUCUGUAGUAAUCAUUUUUUUGUCACUAAUUGUGACAAUUUCCUGGUUUAUUUCACAUUUUAUUCCCGAUCCGAUGACAUUAAAUUAUAAAACCGCAGGCGGGUACGAGUUGUUGGACACAGUGGCGAUCAGCAGUCAUUGUUAAUUGAUGUAACACAAUAAAAUUUAUACAUUCAACACAUUCAUGUAAAACUAUAAAAGUUUCAUAAGGAAACAUAUUUCUUAUUUUCUAUAUAAGUUUUCAAGAAUUAAGGUAUAAACUUCCAGUAUUGUAGUUCUUGGCUUAAAUGUUUAAAAAUUAAAACAUAAUACAGAAAACAUGUGAUCGACUCUGACUUUAAAAAUAAUUGAAAUAUUUGUACUGUUGCACAUUCACGGCCGACACUCGGCUAACCGAGAGAUUGGUCGGUUAAUCUAUAUUGAGUAUGCGGCUAUAUGGGCGAUACGCCUGUUAAGAG
rnacentral:lncRNA from 1 species